CUCCUCUCGGGGUCGUACCUGGAGAGUUUCCAGUACUCUACCAGUCUCGGCUACAGGAGAGAGAGUCUAGCAGAGGCCUACCCAUUCCAUUCUUAGCUUGGCCAGUGGCUAGCGAGUGAAAGGCAAUCAGCUACAAGU